UUGAAAGGGAAACGAUUGAAGUCAGUCGUACCAGCGGGAAAUCAACCUUUCGAGUGGGGGUUUUGGAGUUUUGAAGAGUGUCAAAACCUUUGAGAUUUCAAAAUAUUCGCUCUUUUGGUGUACUUUCUCGUGGGUAGGUUAACAUCGAUUUUGAUCAUCAUAAAAAGAUUGGAGGAAUGUAGCUUCGAUCUUGUAUUGAAGUGUUAUAGCCUUCGGUAGAUGUGAUGAUCGAGAUUGAGGAUUGCAACGGAUUCCUUCGGGGCUGCCUGUCUGAUCUCUGAUCGUUGCUCUGGUGCCGAAAGCUUGCUUACGGUUAUCAAAGUCGAUGGUCAAUAGGUUAGAAUGGGUUAAAUUCGUUAAGGAUGUUGACGUA
rnacentral:rRNA from 1 species